GAGCGUCACUUCCGCCGUGUCACGAUGGAGGAGAUCGGAGUGCUGUGCGAGAAGGCCCAGCGAUGGCGUCACACGCGGCUGGUGUCGCACAUGGAUGACGUCACGGGCGAUGACGUCACACGGCGGCGGUGUCGCUCAGUGCUCGCUGCCCCCCCCAGGAGGACCUCCCGGCGCUGCCCCGCCCCCACCCGGCGCUGCCCUUCCUGGGCCCCGAAGCCGAAGACCUCGAGGACCUCUACAGCCGAUACAAGAAGCUGCAGCAGGAGCUGGAGUUCCUGGAGGUGCAGGAGGAGUACAUAAAGGACGAGCAGAAGAACCUCAAGAAGGAAUUCCUGCACGCCCAGGAGGAGGUGAAGCGCAUCCAAAGCAUCCCAUUGGUCAUCGGGCAGUUCCUCGAGGCCGUGGAUCAGAACACCGCCAUCGUGGGAUCCACCACUGG
rnacentral:lncRNA from 1 species